CGCGGGGUAGAGAAGUAGUAUCUCGGAAGGCUCAUAACCUUCAGACCUGGGUGCAAUUCCCGGCCCCGCAA
rfam:Candidatus Nomurabacteria bacterium RIFCSPHIGHO2_01_FTLL_39_9 rifcsphigho2_01_scaffold_10216, whole genome shotgun sequence.